CAGUCGCCGCGGUAAGACAGAGGAUGCAAGCGUUAUCCGGAAUGAUUGGGCGUAAAGCGUCUGUAGGUGGCUUUUCAAGUCCGCCGUCAAAUCCCAGGGCUCAACCCUGGACAGGCGGUGGAAACUACCAAGCUGGAGUACGGUAGGGGCAGAGGGAAUUUCCGGUGGAGCGGUGAAAUGCGUAGAGAUCUGGAGGAAUACCGGUGGCGAAGGCGGCCCCCUGGACAAAGACUGACGCUCAGGUGCGAAAGCGUGGGGAGCAAACAGGAUUAGAUACCCCAGUAGUCCCUGUCUCUUAUAC
rnacentral:rRNA from 1 species